GCCCAGGUGGCGGAACUGGUAGACGCGCUAGACUCAAACUCUAGUGGCUUCACGGCCGUGCCGGUUCGAUUCCGGCCCUGGGUA
rnacentral:tRNA from 1 species